rnacentral:tRNA from 1 species
GGAGAUCUAGCUCAGUUGGUAGAGUGCUUGUCCCACAUGCACAAGGCCCUGGGUUCAAUCCCCAGCACCACCC